GAUGAACGCUGGCGGCGUGCCUAAUACAUGCAAGUCGAGCGAACGGACGAGAAGCUUGCUUCUCUGAUGUUAGCGGCGGACGGGUGAGUAACACGUGGAUAACCUACCUAUAAGACUGGGAUAACUUCGGGAAACCGGAGCUAAUACCGGAUAAUAUUUUGAACCGCAUGGUUCAAAAGUGAAAGACGGUCUUGCUGUCACUUAUAGAUGGAUCCGCGCUGCAUUAGCUAGUUGGUAAGGUAACGGCUUACCAAGGCAACGAUGCAUAGCCGACCUGAGAGGGUGAUCGGCCACACUGGAACUGAGGCACGGUCCAGACUCCUACGGGAGGCAGCAGUAGGGAAUCUUCCGCCAUGGGCGAACGCCUGACGGAGCAACGCCGCGUGAGUGAUGAAGGUCUUCGGAUCGUAAAACUCUGUUAUUAGGGAAGAACAUAUGUGUAAAUAACUGUGCACAUCUUGACGGUACCUAAUCAGAAAGCCACGGCUAACUACGUG
rnacentral:rRNA from 1 species